rnacentral:rRNA from 1 species
UACGGAGGGUGCAAGCGUUAUCCGGAUUCACUGGGUUUAAAGGGUGCGUAGGCGGGUAGGUAAGUCAGUGGUGAAAUCUUCGAGCUUAACUCGGAAACUGCCUUUGAUACUAUCUAUCUUGAAUAUUGUGGAGGUAAGCGGGAAUAUGUCAUGUAGCGGUGAAAUGCUUAGAUAUGACAUAGAACACCUAUUGCGAAGGCAGCUUACUACGCAUAUAUUGACGCUGAGGCACGAAAAGCGUUGGGGGAUCAAAACAGG